CUAUUUUACAAGUAUAUAAUCUCCCUGAGGGCAAGGACUUUACUUUGUGUACUAUUGUUUCACCAGAGUCAAGAAAAGAGCCUGACAUGAACUAACUGCUCAAUAACUAUUUGUUGCAUGGGUUAAUAAAUGAAAAGGACCUGGAUUAUUUUACUGUCCCACAUGACAUUCAAGGAUCCAGGUGGAGGGUUGGAAUGUCUAAUGAAGAGUAAGCUCAGAGGAAGCAGAGGAUGAGGGAGUUCAAAUUGCGUGAAAAUUAUCUGUUUCCUGAAGAUUUGAUGAAAUUCCCAUGUGAACCUAUCUGGACCUAGAGCCUUUUUGGGUGGGUAGCCCUUUGAAAUCUUU
rnacentral:lncRNA from 1 species